GUUGGUUGGAAUUGGGACGUCAUUUUAAUUGCAACUUUUUUUUUUUUUUAAAUCGAAUACAGGUUUUGCACCAUUUGAUUGUGUCUGUGCUGAACGUGAUCAUAUGACAGUGUUAGAUAUUGUGGAGCCUACUGUGAAAGGUGAGACCCCCUGAGCAGCCCAUUGGUGGGUUACUUUUGGGGAUAGAUCCAUCCCCAAGCAGUGCAGCAACCAACCGCUCCUGAUUUCAUAAGCUCAUCUCUGUAGGCUGUACCAAAGCCAUGUAGUUUCAGAGGCUUAGUCAUGCCUAGACAAUGCUCAAAUAUGAGGCCCAGCCCCUAAUCCCUUCUUUACCCUCCCCACAAUAAACCAAGUUACUACCCAGAGCUCUGAAUCCUCUCAUAAUUUCCAUCCCCACUUACCACAUGACUAACAAUCAUCAAAUCCCAAAUAAUAUUACUCCCAUCCUCUUUAAUCCUCUCAUCACUCCAUCACAUUACCCCAUCACAUUCCCUUAAUUACCAUUUUUCCAGCCCUGUCACCCCCAUACAAAAUUCUCAUAUUCACUUUACCCCAUCCUUCCAAACUCCUAUCAACCCAAUGCCCUGAUCACAUUAUCUCGUUCUCAUAAUUCUAUUCACCUCAUAAUCCCUUACUCCAAUCCCCAUAAUGGCAAUAAGUCCCAAAACUUUCCAUAACCACCUCAGACUUAAACCAUGUGACUAUAGAUUUCAUAUGCUUGAAAUGUUCAGUUAUAAAUGUAGACUUUAUGCCAAAGUCUAUUUGCACUUGAGAUUUGGCUCAUGAUUUUUAAAGCACAAGAUGCCAAAAUCACAAAUUCAGAUUUCAUUAUUAAGCCCACAGUAGUCCUCAGCUCCAGGCCUCCUCUGAACACCCUAAUCCAGCACUUCUCACCCUCAACUUCAUAAUCCCUUCAUAACCAGCCACUGCAAUCACAAUACCCCCAUCAUACAAUCCCAUCAAUCUCCGACCCAAUUACAUUACUCAUCUCAAAUACCAUCAAGCCCAAUCCUUUUAUGUUCUUCAGUAAUUCCAUCACACUCAGAUGCAAUUACAUGCAUACCAUAAUCCAAUCACCACAAACCAUAAUCACAUUUCCUAUUCCAUCCUAUAACCCCCAGCCCCGUCGAUCACAUUAUCUGAAUACUCUUCAAAUUUGCCCAUCACCAUUAACCAUACUCCCCAUCGAAUCAAUUGCUGAGUCCACCAGAACUGGUGGUGUAGUGGUGCAGCUUGCGUUUAGCAGCUGGUCUAGGUGCACUGACCAGGAGCUAAUGUUCCUCUGUGCUGUGUGGAUGGUGGACCAUCUCUCAAAUACAACACUGCAAGGGAGCACUGACUGGCUGUCACUGUUCCCUUGCAACACUACAGCCAGGGGACGGACUGCUGGAUCUGGUGCAUGGGCAGGUACACUGAGGGGCAGCACGCAUGGGGACUUUGGAAAGUCCCCAUUAGGCUGUCCCUGUGUGCCCAUCUGGGCAUAAUACCACCUAUCUCUGCCUUUCUUUAUCUAGUCAAACAAAAGUUAUUCCCAGUCAUCUGGUCCCAUCAUCUAUAAUCUAUCAUAUUUUCACAGUUUUUUGGGGUUUUUUCGGAAGAGCCACUUGCUCAGACCUCUUCAGUUUUUCAGUGUCCCUAAAAUAACGUCCUUUAGAAUAGCGAUAGCUGACAAUGGCGCUUGAAAUGUUUGUGAACUAUUUUCUUAAUAUGCUCAGCAAGUUCAAAUAGCUGCAGUGCCAAGGUAAUCCAGCUCGAUUUUAGUAUUAAUACCUGCACAUUCUCUUAUUUGCUGUAUCAGGACCCAUAACAUGUUGAAGGUUACAAACCAGAAACCAGAUUUACACAGUACUCUGGUUUUAUUGAUAUUCUCCUGCUGUGACUCACGGCACAGAAACAACAGGUGUCCCAUCAAUAAAAUAGGCAGCGUAAAGAGGAAUGACAUUUAACAUAAUCCGAAGCAGUCAUAAAUAUAACUCUAUUUGAUAGAAGAUACAAUACAUAGAAUGGUAAGGCCUCUGUCUAAAAAAAAUAAAACUGUCUUAUGGCAGUAACUGUGGGUUUUAAUGGGAGAUAUGUAUUAUAUUGAAGUGUAUUCGCAAAGUGGUGAAUAACAAUCUCAUAAUCAAUAUUUUUCAACAUGAGAUAAGCUGUUAAUGAUGUUGAAAAGAUAACAAUCCCAUGGUUCAGAAACUUUUCAAGAAAAAGUCUUGAAAAGUCAAUGAAAACAUUUUUGUUACAAUUACCCAACACCCUAAAAUAUUUCUAUGUUUUAGUGAAUGAACAGAUUCAACGAUGUACACAAGCAAUAUUAACUGAAAAUUCUUCACAAAUCAAUUAGACCAACUAAAG